UUGAAACUAGAGACAGAGUGAGUGAGGGCAUUAUUUUCAGUUGAAACCAUUUCUGUCUAUUCAUUUUCCCAAUGGAGCUUCGUCGUAGUCAAUGCAUUUCCAACGCAAGAUCAUCUGGACCAAUUUUGAGGAGAUACAUAGAAGAAGAAAAUGCAGGAGAAUCGAGAAGUAUUGUUGUUGAUGAAGUAAUAGAGAACAAAGAUAACAAUGAACCGCCAAUGGUUCAGGUUCCGCAGCAGCCACUUCCCAUUGAUAACUAUAGGGAAAAAGAUUAUAAGAGUGAAAUGUUGAAUGAAACUGCGGAGGCCUCCUCUGAUUUCAUUCUACCUUUGCUUAGAUUCCAAAAGGAAUGGUUGGCUUGGGCUUUGAAUCAGGAACAAAUAUACAGAGGUGGAGUGCUUGCGGAUGAAAUGGGAAUGGGAAGGACCAUUGAAGCAAUUGCCCUUGUCCUUGCCAAACGAGAACUCCAACAAAAUGGAUUUGUAUUUUCACAAUCACCUUUACCAUCUUCUUCUGAAGCGUUGCCAUUGAUUGAAGGAACUCUUGUCAUUUGCCCCGUGGUAGCUAUCACUCAGUGGGUCAAUGAGAUUGACCGAUGUACUUUGAAAGGAAGUACCAAGGUUCUAGUUUAUCAUGGGGCUGACAGAAUUAAGAAUUGGGAACAGUUCUCCAAGUAUGAUUUUGUGAUCACUUCAUACUCUAUUGUUGAAUCUGAGUGCAGGAAUAUGUCGAAUUGGCGUGACAGAAAUUGUGAAGGACCUGGUUUUGUUAGACAAGCAAAACACUCCAAGCAAGUUAAGAAAAAUAAAUCAAAUGCUAUGCCAGCUCUACACGCUGUAAAGUGGCAGCGAAUCGUACUAGAUGAGGCACGCUAUAUAAAAGAUAAACGUUCUAAAACCACUCAAGCAGUUUUUGCUUUAGAAUCUACAUACAAAUGGGCACUAAGUGGCACUCCAUUUCAGAACCGUCCUCGAGAGUUGUAUACUCUGAUAAGGUUCCUACAGAUAAAUCCUUAUUCCUAUUACUUUUGCAAACACUGUAAUUGUAGAGUUCUUCAGCACAGGUAUGAAUUAUGUUCAGACUGCUCCCAUGAUUUUCGGGAUCAUUUCAAUUGGUGGAAGAAAUACAUUGCUAAACCAAUUGAAUCUUCUCGAUCCAAUGAUAUUUGUGGGAAAAAAACUAUGAUAUUGCUCACACACACAAUUUUGAAAAACUUGGUACUAAGACGCACAAAAAUAGGCAGGGCUGCUGAUCUUGCACUUCCACCUAGAAUUGUUUCAGUGAGAAGGGAUUUCUUGGAUAGAGAAGAGCUCGACUAUUAUGAAACAUUAUACAAGGAAUUUCAAGCAAAAUAUAAUAGAUAUGUUAGAGAAAAUACUAUGGGGGAUCACCGUUUUGAAAUCGUUGGCCUAAUCACACGGCUGCGUCAGGUAACAAAUCAUCGAUACCUUGUGGAAUUUUCUCAAAAAGAGGAGUUAAAUGCUGAAGAUCUGGCAAGUAGUGCAGCUGACAAACAAGAAAGUGGCAUUUGUCAUAAGCCAGAAGAAGAUCCUGUUGAUUUAACUUCCAACAAGGAUGUUAGGGAUGACGAUGAUAAAAUCAUGGUUAAAUAUUUCAGAUCCUCAAGAAUUUUAAAAAACAUUGAGCUUGAGAACUUUCAGACAAGCACUAAAUUAGAGGCUUUGAGAGAAGAAAUCAGAUUCAUGAUUGAAAGAGAUGGUUCUGCAAAAGGGAUUGUUUUUAGCGGGUUCUCAUUAUUCGUAGAUCUUAUAUACUACUCUUUGUACAAGUCUGGAGUAUCUUGCGUUCGGUUGAAUGAAAACAUGUCACAGGACGCACGGGAUGCUGUUGUUCAUAGAUUUAAUGUUGAACCAGACUGCAGAAUUUUUGUCAUGACCUUUAUGGCUGGUGGUAUUGCACUCAAUUUGACAGUAGCAUCACAUGUUUUCAUUAUGGACCCUUCUUGGAAUCCAGCUUUAGAGCUUCAGGCUCUAGACAGAAUUCACGGAAUUCACGGAAUUGGGCAAUAUAAACCUACAAGGUUUUGGUUCUUGCUCUUUAGCAUUCUCAAGUUAAAAAAAUGAAAGUAACAACCUAUGUAGCACCGGCGCUUCAGAAUAAAGGCGUGUCCCUUGUCCAUCUGUGUGUCAUAGUUGAGGAGAUGAUUUUGAAGGUACAGGAGAAGAAGAAACAAGUUGUUCAAGGGUAAGUGUGAUGCGUGAAGUAUAGAGUUAAAGUUGAUCGAAAUGGUUCUUCUGAAGCUGUGGAGCAAUUGUCAUUUGGGGACUUUGAAAUCUAUAUAUAUGCUAAAUGAGUAGAACAAAAAUGUAUUUGUUUAAUGUAUGAACAUCUAUAUCGAAUAAUGUAUGAACUUCAAAUGAAUUGCGUCUA